rnacentral:rRNA from 1 species
UACGAAGGGGGCUAGCGUUGCUCGGAAUUACUGGGCGUAAAGCGCACGUAGGCGGAUUGUUAAGUCGGGUGUGAAAUCCUGGAGCUCAACUCCAGAACUGCCUUCGAUACUGGCGAUCUCGAGUUCGGGAGAGGUGAGUGGAACUGCGAGUGUAGAGGUGAAAUUCGUAGAUAUUCGCAAGAACACCAGUGGCGAAGGCGGCUCACUGGCCCGAUACUGACGCUGAGGUGCGAAAGCGUGGGGAGCAAACAGG